ACCGUUCUUAGUUGGUGGAGUGAUUUGUCCAGUUAAUUCCAUUAACGAAUGAGACCUCAACCUGCUAACUAGGUAUGCAUAGGUCAUCCUCCGCGACCAGCUUCUUAAAGGUAUUAUGACCGCUUAGGCCAAGAAAGUUUGAGGCAAUAACAUGCCUGUGAUGCCCAU
rnacentral:sRNA from 1 species